GUGGGCAGAGAGGAGCCGAGGGGUGAGGAGCGGUGUGGAAAAGGCAUUUUGGAAAAGGGCCCCCCUAAUCGCAGUGCCUUUCUCACCCACCAUCAGUUUUUGAGUCCUAUGGUGGAGCAACCCCCUGGCUACUUUCCAUGAGACCAGAGGGAGUCUGAAAAGACUUCAGAGCUGUCCUCAAGACCUGAAGAAAUGAUUCAUUACCCUUCUCUCACCUCCGACCAAUCAGUUGGCCUAUAUGAUCUGUAACCUACAGGCCAUCAAGGAUUUCCAGCUUUUAAGCAUUAGCUUCCCAUUCUCCUCGAUAAGGCCAUUCGUCAAUAAAAUAGCCAAUAUUUCUCUA